rnacentral:rRNA from 1 species
UACGUAGGGAGCAAGCGUUGUCCGGAUUUAUUGGGCGUAAAGGGCGCGUAGGCGGCUUGGCAAGUGGAAGGUGAAAUCCCUCGGCUUAACCGAGGAACUGCCCUCCAAACUGCUUUGCUUGAGGCCGGGAGAGGUGAGUGGAAUUCCCAGUGUAGCGGUGAAAUGCGUAGAUAUUGGGAGGAACAUCUGUGGCGAAGGCGACUGCCUGGACCAGCACUGACACUGAGGCACGAAAGCGUGGGGAGCAAACAGG